UACGGGGGGAGCUAGCGUUGUUCGGAUUUACUGGGCGUAAAGGGCGCGUAGGCGGCCACCGCAAGUCGACUGUGAAAUCUCCGGGCUUAACCCGGAAAGGUCAGCCGAUACUGCGGGGCUAGAGUGCAGAAGGGGCAACUGGAAUUCUCGGUGUAGCGGUGAAAUGCGUAGAUAUCGAGAGGAACACCUGCGGCGAAGGCGGGUUGCUGGGCUGACACUGACGCUGAGGCGCGAAAGCUAGGGGAGCGAACGGG
rnacentral:rRNA from 1 species